GGCUAUUUCAAAUGUCAACAUGAUAAAUCUUUAUGGAAUUUAUUUUUAUUCUGUAAUUUAAGGUAGUAAAUAACCCAGUCUCCUAAUGGAUAAAAUUGAAUAAAUUGUAAAAGAAACAAAACCUAAAAGGGUAAGAGAGUUCUUUGGCGCCACGUCCAGCUCGCAAUAUUGCCUGGCGUCUGCUAUAUAAUCCAGAUUCCCGCGGUUGCGCCUCGAGUGUAUGAUGCUUCGGCGACUGGCGCCGGUUUCCUUCCUUUCGUACCAUACUAUUCUAUACAUACACGCGUACCCUAUGUGUACUCACGAUCACUAUUUUAUACCCGCAUACGUAUGCGUACUUACACAAGAAGUAGACAAUCCAGUAGAAGAGAUAUUCGUAUCACGAGAGUCAGCGCAAUCAGCUUGUCAGUCUGUCAGUGAACGUAUUUGUGCAUACUUCCUUAAUAACUUUGUCGUUUUCAUAAAUUUUACGACUGUGAAUUCAUUUAAAUUAAUAACACAUGCAUACAUAACGAUUAUAAAAACAGGAAGUAAAUAACACAUUAAAAAAUUCGAUAAAACUAAACAAGCCCGCCUACAAGCUGUACCAUCUCUUUAAAAUUAUUUUUUUUUUUUUUAAACUUGUUUUCACUCUUUCCUUUCUCGUUGGUAAGUUAUAAUUGUCACUACACUAACAGAACUUUUAAUUGAGCAUUCAUUUUUAAAUUUAAAAUCAACUUUGUCUAUAUAAAAUAAAUUAAAAUUUAUGAAGCCUACUGGUUUUUUCUUGAAAACUUACUUUUGGUCUCUUGAAAGUAGUAUGUAAGUAGAACGCACUUUAGAUCCACGCAUCGACGAAAUUAAUUUAGCACAGAAUAUACGCAAUGUUAAACUAACGUGUAAGCUGUACUACAAUAAUAUUUAUUAAUUGAAUGUUUUAUUAAAUUUAUAAUGAUCAUACUUUAGUCGUAAAAAUAAUGAGUGAUUGAACAUUAAAAACUUAUAAUUCAGAGGCAUGAAAAGUCUCUGAUUUGACAUCAAAGUGGCGGAACCCGCAUUGUCAGUAAACAAUGGCUCUGUGGAGUCAUUAGACUUUUACAAUGAUCACAUUAAUCGGCAACAGCAGCUUCAGAUUAUCUGCCACCAUCGUCCUAAAUCGCGUGAUACCACGCGAAU